rnacentral:rRNA from 1 species
AACGAACGCUGGCGGCUGGCUUAACACAUGCAAGUCGAACGCCCCGCAAGGGGAGUGGCAGACGGGUGAGUAACGCGUGGGAAUCUACCCAUCCCUACGGAAUAACGCAUGGAAACGUGUGCUAAUACCGUAUACGCCCUACGGGGGAAAGAUUUAUCGGGGAUGGAUGAGCCCGCGUUGGAUUAGCUAGUUGGUGGGGUAAAGGCCUACCAAGGCGACGAUCCAUAGCUGGUCUGAGAGGAUGAUCAGCCACAUUGGGACUGAGACACGGCCCAAACUCCUACGGGAGGCAGCAGUGGGGAAUAUUGGACAAUGGGCGCAAGCCUGAUCCAGCCAUGCCGCGUGAGUGAUGAAGGCCUUAGGGUUGUAAAGCUCUUUCACCGGAGAAGAUAAUGACGGUAUCCGGAGAAGAAGCCCCGGCUAACUUCGUG